rnacentral:lncRNA from 1 species
ACUACUAAAGCCUCUUCGGUAUCUGACACAAGUCAGAAUUUCCACUGUUCCAGCUGAGCUUUUAUGAAGAACAGACUUGAGAGAAGCUGCUGUCACCGCCGACACCCGGGCUUCUGGGGGGACUGCCGCGCAGUGGAGUCGGGCCUCGCUGACACUCGCAGGAGCACAGGCUCUGAACUGAGACACGGCAGCCAGCGGGGUGUGGCCCGCCUGCCCUCCGUCGGGGGGGCCCCGCUGCUCACCAGUCGUGUCUUCUUCGUCUCGGGCUUCCAGGGAACCACUGGCCAGCCCCGCCGAUUGACCGGCCCUGCCAGGGAGUGGUGCGGAGCCGCCUGUGGGGACGUCCUUAGAAGUCCCCUCCCUCCCUCCCUCUCUUUCUCCCCCCAGCUGCUCCCUGACCUCCAGACUCAGUGUCCAACUGUCUACUUGGCCUCUCUACCUGGAUGUCCAACAGCCAUCUUGAACCCAAUGUGCCCCCAACAAAAAGCCUCCACUGUCACCCGCCUAAGCCUCCACGUCAGAAGCGGCACCACCGCUGCCUUCCGUCCUUAAGCCGGACGUCGAAGGCGAACCCGGGAUCCCGUCUUUCUUCACCUACCUCCCCUCUCUCACCUCUACCCCCAGGGCCACCCACUGCCCUCCAGCCCCCCAGCCCCGACGCUGGGCGAUGUCAUCACCUCUCACCCGCACUACUGUGACCAUGCCCCAUCUCCAUGGCCUCCUUCCUCCCCACAAGCGGCCCAUCACGCUUUCCAGAAGGAUCUUGUUAAAACGGAUGUCAGAAGCUGGCACUCGCCUAUGCCUUCUCUUCAAAGGCAGCGUAAAACCCAAGCGUGUGGUCCCACCCCUGCCCGCUGGCCCACCCUUGUCCCCAGUGGCUCCUCCUACCACAUAGGCCUCCCUUUUGUUCUUCCCUAAACCCCAAGUUCCUUCCACCUUGGGGUUCUGCUUGCUCCUCCUGGCUGUUCUCCCUUCACAUCCUCCCAAGGCUGGUCCUUCCUCAGCUGAGAUGUCACCUCCUCCGAGAGGCCUUGCCACAAUCUACCCCUCACGGCGUUUUACCACUACCAGAAAUUUGCACGGCCGUUCUCUGGAUUAUUCAGUCACUACCUGCCUCCCUCAGGUGAGCACCCUGCCAGUAAGGCCCACCUACCUGGUUCAUGGUCGAGCACCCAGGACUCAGCAGGGCCCCACGCCUGCAGGAGAUGCUCAGCUAAAUACUCCCUGAAUGAGCAAGAGUCAGAGGCCUGAGCUCCAUUCUCAGUCUGCUGUGUUACCUUAGACGGCUCACGUCCCCUCUCUGGGCCUCAGCUCGCCAACUACAAAUGAAGGGGGCUAGAGGCCUUCCCAGGGCUCCUCGGGUCUGUGAGUGGUUGACACAUCACACCUGGGGGCCGAGACAGACGGACCUGGGCCGCAAGGGGGAGUACACAGGACCUGCCUGGGUGGCCCGAGGGAGGGGACUGUCUGACUUCAUGCUGUUGACUUCAUUCUUCCAGUGAGUAUUUAUUGAGCACUUACAGCAUGCCAGACUCUAUGUCAGGCGCUGGGAGAAGAAGGAGACAUUCAGAGAUGCUAAUAGGAUUAAAGAAACUUUGAAAAUAGGUCUUCUUUGAUCUGGACUGGUAAAUAAUUAUAAACACCAGUUGGCUCCCCUUCAAGAAAAGACCCAUAAAACAAUAAGACUCAUGACAGCUCACAGACACCGGGCACUUACUCCGCACCAGGGCCGUUCUCUGAUAUUACAUAAAUGACCUCACGGUCUUCACGGGAGCCCUGAGGAAGAAGUGCUAAUGAUUACCCCCCGACAAGGAAAAUGCAGAACAGAGAAGUGAAGGGAUUCACCCCAGGUCACCCAGUGAGUUGUGGUUUAAAGCCCGGCUGCUCUGGGGCCCGACUUGCAAAUUCCCAAAAGGUCCAAAUAAAGAUAGGAAGGUACUUCCCCUGGGUUCCGAGGGGGUGGGGGUGAGACAAACUUUGGGGCCCAUCCAGAGUCAGGCAGGUCCUAAGCUCACAGUGGGGCCACUCAGACCCCAGGGCCUCAAUCCCAACACCACGGCCCUGCCGGGCAGGACUAGCUACUCUACCACAGCCUCAAGCUGGGGAAAUGGGGAUCCCAUAGGCCCCGUCAGGCCAGACCCAGGCUGCGCAGAGGGAGGCCUGCCCCCCACCCCAGCAGCCCUGGGUCCUGGAGGGAGGACCUGGGCCCCCAAAGGGAGGGGCCUCCUGACUUCACUCAUCCUGAGGGUUCCUUGAUGGGCGUUCUGUGAAGUCAGCUCUCCAUACAUGCCGGGCAGGUUGCUCUUUGCCUGCUUUCAUCCCCAAGUGGAGGUCAGAAGACAGGAAACAGACUCGGUGUUAGGGUCAGUGGGCAGAUACUAGAGGGGGAGGGGCAGAAGUGAGUCAAGGCACGGGGAGGGAGGGGGACAGCCCUAGGUGGAAGGGAGAGAGGGGACCUAGAGAGGAAGCUGCAUCUUAUGCCGAGUGGAGAGGACACCCCCAAACACAGCUCUUCCGGGGGCCAUUCAGGGUGACACAGGUCAGCCAAACCAGGGUGGCACCCGUUUGCACCUCAGGCCACAAGCCACAGGCUGCCACCGCCUGUCCUACGGCCCAGCCGGGGAGGUGGGGACGCCAGGUGGGUACUGGAGUGACGAGUGGGGCUGGCCGCCCAUGCUCAGACCCCAGCCGGGCCAGCAGAGGGAGGGUCCCUCUCCCCUUCUCCCCUGGAAAGCCAGCCUCGUGUCCGCCCCUGCCACGCCCAGCCAGCUCUCCUGGCUUGGGACUUUUGAUGUUUACUUUGUUCUCUCCACAGUUCAAAAGCAGCUCGGAAGCCUCGCACCAAGCCCAGACUUAAUCUGCCGUCCCUCGAGCUCCCAGCUGGCCAGUUAAGGCGGUUAAGAUGCUGGAUUAGGGCCGGCUUUACAUAACAACGCAGGAGCUAAAGCCGUCCUCUCCUGGGAUGGCUAAAAGACUUCUUUUUAUCUUCACGCCUCAGAUGGCCUUUUUUCUCCCUUAAACAGCCCUCCAGCCCGCCAAGAGGCAAUGAACUUGGCCAACAGGAAGACAAAGGAGAGAGUCAGGAUUCCGCGUGCUCUCCCUUGGCCGGGUAGCACAGAGGGACGCCCCCAGGCCAGGUGGAUGCUUCUCGGGGACUCAGCAGCACCUGCUCUUACUGUGGCCACGUCCCCCCAUUCUGGGGGGUGCGGCCUCAGGCCUCUGCGCCGAGGGCGACCGUGGCACCACAGGCAGUCACGGGCCCAGCAUCCUCCCAAGGAGUCCCAGGGCCACGCGGGCAGCCCAGGCCCACACCAGAGCAGUCUCGCUCUUAACUGCUUCAUCUACGCGGUGCUCUCGCUUUUUAAUGCUGUGGUUCGUCUCUCAAUUCAUCCUCCUUGUGAAAGUUUGAACAUUCAUCACUAUCGUCCUCUUUGUGCACACUUUCUGAUUUUAGUGUCCUUCUCCCACGCCCAAGAGGAGCUACUGUCUUUGUGUGUCGAGGCCUCCAGCCACCCCGUAAUAUGCACGCGGUACACACGCAUAUGUGCAAGGAAAUACGGAGUGCUGUGUCGUGCCCUUUUUUACACAAAACAUACUGUGACAUGCUGCAUCUUUCUGCAACCUGAUGUGUUUUGUAUUUUCUGCUUCUGCGUCAGCUUUGGCUUGAAGAAAGAGGCCGAAAAGCUUGACCGCCGACAACUUAGUCCGACCCCCAGUUGGGAAACUGAGGCAGGAGAGUGGCCUGAGCCCCCUCCCUCAUCAGUGGUGGCACCGAUGUGCCUAGACAUCAUCAGUAAUGAGCAAGGUGCCCAGGCUGCCCUUCAAGGCCAGGAAUGCAGCUGGGGCAGGGGGUGGGGGGGGCAUGGGGUCAGACUGAAUGAUGCCAACCUCACACCCUUUCCCCCAACGGGAGCUGGGACCCCCAGGCACCUCAUAUUCAUCCCCCAUCCAUCAACCAAUGUUUGUAAGUGUCGCCCUCCCCGUGUCUCAGGGGUUCGUUCUCCCUGCAAGGAGCCCACCGCCUCCGUGCACCCACGGAGUCCGGUUCCACAUCCUCACUCAUCAUGUUACAGAGGGCAAGGGGGGCCCAGAGCUGGAGGGACCUGGCCACAAUCCACAGCAGGUCGCUACCAGAGCUGGGAGGGGAGCCAGGGCCAACGUUCCUUCUACUUCAUUAUAACAGCACGCAUGCUCUGAAUGCAGACAUCAGAGGGAAGUGGAUUCCAUGGGCGGGCCAUUUCAUGUCUGAUUGAAGGCAAAGACACCUCACUUGAAAUCAGUUACAUGGUUUCGGGGCGCCUGGGUGGCGCGGUCGGUUAAGCGUCCGACUUCAGCCAGGUCACGAUCUCGCGGUCCGUGAGUUCGAGCCCCGCGUCGGGCUCUGGGCUGACGGCUCGGAGCCUGGAGCCUGUUUCCGAUUCUGUGUCUCCCUCUCUCUCUGCCCCUCCCCCGUUCAUGCUCUGUCUCUCUCUGUCCCAAAAAUAAAUAAAUGUUGAAAAAAAAAAUUAAAAAAAAAAGAAAACAGUUACAUGGUUUCAAACUGAGCCUCAAUGGACAGAGAACUGCCUUGUUUUGAGCAGUAACUAGAGGCUCAACAAAUGAUGGAUAGAAAGACAGACAGAUGAUGAUUGGAGGAUGAUGGUUCCGUGGAUGAAGGGAUGAUUGAAUCCAUCCAUGGGUGGAGUAUGGAUUAUGGGUGGCUGAGUGAUAACAAAGAGCUGGCUGGCUGGUGGGUGACAGGAGAGUAGAGAGGAGAAUGAAAAGGCAAUGGAUGGAUGGAUGGAUGGAUGGAUGGGGCGUGACCAGUGGGUGGGUGAGUGACAGGUGAACGAAGGGACAGACAGAUGAGUGGUGGUUGGAUGGGUAGUGAAUGGGCGAUGGAUGGAACAGGUGGAGGGAUAGAUAAACAAGAGAAUGAACUUGCUAAUGAGUUAUGGUGCGAAUGAGCAAAUGAAUACCUAACAGGAAUGAGGGCUGAUGCCCAUGUAAUCAAUGUCCGGGAUCAGCUCAGUCCCUAAGGGCUUACACCCUGCACACCCUUAUCUGACUCCCCAGAUCUCUCAGCACCAACUCCUGACAUCUCUCUCCAUGGAGCCAAAGAUGACAGCUGAGGCUUGAGGGGAGCCAGGGCAUGACAGAAUCAGAGCUGCAGAGCCCCUGCGUGCAGCCACCAGAUCUGCAAGCAAGCACGCCCAAGGGAAACACCCCCAAGCCUUCACAAAGCCUUCCAUCCAUGGGACUCCCCACCCUUGGUUCAGGACCUGCUCAUAUUUGAGUCUGAUAGAUACCUGGGUCCCAGCCUGCCUCCAGCUCCUGGGCAACUGGGUGGAUCUCUUAAAACAGUGCUUCUCAAAGUGCACAAGUCACCUGGGGAGUCUCUUACAGUGUAGAUUGGAUGCAGCAGGCCUGGGGCUGAGCAGGGGGACCCUAUGCUUAUGACAACUGUCAAGCUGGAUGUGGCCACAGUCCUCAGGCCUGGCCCAGACUCCCCUUGAGAAACCCUUGGCACUGUCUGCUCUCCUCUCAAGGCUCUACAGGGGCCCAAGGCCUAGAUCCCCCUAAGACGCUCAGCUCUCCUACAAGUUGCCUGUCCUCACCUCAACAGCGAGGCCCCUACCAUCCUAAGGCUUCCCCAGUGAAGUGAUUCUCUUCUCGGAUUCUGAGCGUAAAACGGAAAUGCUAUCCCGCUUCGCAAAUGCUUUCCAAUCAAUGCCACCUAUGCUUUGCAUCAGCUCAGGGAGUCCAACAGGGAGAAGGCUCUCAUUCCUGUUCUGUAAGUGUGGAAACUAAGGCUCAGAAAGGUGGUGUGCCUUGCCCAAAGUCAAGUCGGUGCUCCAGUGUCCGCCUCCUUUCCACAACAGGUGCUUCCCCUUGAACAAAGACAGGAGUGAGCGGAGAGCGGCCAGUGGGGCGCCAUUUGUAUGUGCUCCAGCUGAGCGAUGUGAAUGACAAAUGGGGAAAUAGAUCAGCUACGUGCCGAACACAGUUUGAGGGGCCAAUGAGCCGCUACUGUGAUCACCCCCCAAUGGGAAAGCUGAGCUCCAACAACCUGUCCAAGGCUCCACAGCCAAUACAGAGCAGAGCCAGGAUGUGAGCCUCGGGAGCCUGGCUCCACUCUGGGCUUGGACCUGUGAAGGGCGAUAUUCCCUUCUUGCCUCUCACCCCCACUCACCCCCACUGACAGGGUCCAGUCCUCCGCCUGGUCUGCAGAUUUUCCAGAGGGCACACAGGGCACACGGUAGACUAGAUGGCCCCUUCCCCAUCUCACUGCACCCUGGGAAGAAGAGAGCAAUGGAUUCCAGUACCUUCUAGCCGAAAGCCUUCCUCUUCCUCCUCACUGAGCGUUUCUCUGAAAAUUUCACCCACGAGCUCCUAGAGGAAGACAAAGCAGGGACAUUAAGCAAGAAUUGGACAGAGUCAGGUAGGAGCCUGGUGUUGGGACGUCAUGAACGUGUGCCCAGCUGGUCACAAGGAAGCGGGGGUCCUGCUCUAAUUCUUCCAAUGGGAAUUUAGGUCAACUGAGGUGGAUCCUAUCACACUUGAAAAGUGAAUUAUCACCAUGCUUUUCAGGAAGUAACUUUUUCUCAGCUCACUAUAAAAUACUAUACCCGACCACACUUCUCCCUCAGACAGGAAGUUCCACCCUCCACCCUGGAAAAAGACAGAGACAAGAUGAGAAAAUGUCUCUCAUCUACCCCUUGGAGUCAACUCGACUCCAGCAAGCCACCCCUGUGGGUCCCGAGAAGGGAUCUCAGUUUGAACGAUUCUCCAGCAGAGGGUCCCGGGCGGGCCGUCUCCAUGGGUUUACAAAGAGGGCCUGGAGUGCCCAAGGAGAGGUCUCUACUACCCUUAACAUAAACCCCAACUCUUCAGCAUCACAUUCAGAAACCUUCAUGCUUUGGCUCGGGCUGAUCUUCAGACAGGCCUGCCACAUCUCCCCCGUGCACACGCCUGCCAGAAACCAGCCUGAUCCUGGCACAUGCCUUGCCUGGUGGCAUCCUUGAGGAUGCCUGGCGGCUUAUCCCGUAUGACAGACUUGGCCCCAACCAGCCUGCUCAGGCUGUCAUUCAGAUGUGGUCAGGUUGGCCAGGGGACUUUGGUUGGUCCACAGGCUGGGAAAUUUCUGGGAUGUCGACAAAGGUACGACCUAUCUCACCCCACCCCUGCAGGAUGACUCUAGAUACGGAAGAAGCAGGGCCGGCAUUUGCCAGACUGUCUUCUGCAUUUUUUGGUAUUCUGCCCGUAAGAGUUCUGUGAUCUAAAAAGAUUGUUCUAAAGUUACGCAAGAUCCCGUACUGAAGAAUUUACGACGGUAAUGGACACUGUGAGUAUCCAAGUAGUAACUGAGGCUACGUUCCCCAAUUUUCCUCCUAUUUAGACCGUGGAGAUUGUUUUACACAAGCAUCACAUGGGAUUCGUGUUCCGAGGAACCCACUUUGGGAAAUGCUCCUCUUCUGGGGGAGAGACAAGGUUUGAGAAGUUAUACCACCUUAUCUCUUCAGAUGCCACAACAAUGCUACGGCAGCAUUUCUCGAACCACAAAAUGACAAGCGAUAAAAAAAGCCCAAACUCAGCAGCUGUCACCAACUUCUCUUUUUGAAAAAAAAAAUGGGGGGGGGGCAAAGAGAAAGAAAAAUGAGAACGUACCCUUCUCGUUGAAAAAUUAGAAGGAAAAAAAAAAUCCUGCACCUCAGAUCCUUAACAGAAAAAUCAGGGUUUGCUUUGAUUAACCAAACAAAAAUAAUGCUCUGUAUAUCUGAUCUUAUCAACUGGACACAGCUGGAGCUAAGUCUCUUCUUUUCUUUUCUUUUCUUUUUUUUUUUUUUAAAGGAUCAACAGCUGACAUUUUAUGGAUCAGGGCCGGUGUUCUCCUCUCGCUCUCCUUUCAGAUCGUUCGGGGGCGUCACACACUCUUUCCUACGGGUUGUGAAAAUGUGGCCACUCAGACUCCCGGGGUCCCACUGACUUCAAAACCAGGCUGCUUGAUUCCUGGAGAGAGGAUGGCUUCUCCCUCCUCCUCCGCCAAUUAUCAUAAUCACCGAACACUUCCCGGGCUUGUAAACUGGCUGUUUGUGUUAACGGCACUGGAGUUGACAGGGAAGCAGGGAGCUGGUGACAGGGAAGGGACGCACUCAGGUGGCAUCAUUAGACGGCUGGGACGCUCCGGCAGCCAAUUAGAGCCCAUCUUUCAUGCCAGAGGAAGACGGAUGCCAUCUCCCCAUAAAGGAGCACUUCCUCACAGGAGCAGCUGACGGUCUUCAAGGGAGUCAACAGCCCGCUUCACGCUCGGCUCUUCUGGAAAGCGGGGGGCUCAGUGCUGACCUUGGCCCGCCACCCUGACCGCUGCAGGCAAAGCAGACAGGACCUGCCAGUCCCAUACUUUUGAGCGCACGUGUCUUCUUAUUGGCAGACUUGGAGGAGUUUAAAGACUCCGAACGUCACUCCCAACAAAGCAGCCGUCUGGAACCCCGAUAACGAUGCCUCACAGUGUGUAUCACGCACUCUGAGAACUGUCUGCUGUGAGGACGAAGCUCUCUGACACAGUAAAGACACAUCUCUGCAUAUUAAAGCAGGCUUCUGGCAAGCUCCGGGGUCGGCCUCUUCCUGCUAAACCUUACCCUGCUCUGUAUAACCCUGUGAGAGCUCCUUUGCACCACGGUCCACUGACAUACUGUGCAGUUACAGAAGCUCGACAUUGGCAAACGUUCAUUUCAUCCGCUGAGCCAGGCGGCCCGGGGCCAGUGCCGCGCAGUGUCUGUGGUCUUCAAGCUUUGAAUCGCUAAGCUAGAGGCAAUGCAGUGUGGGGCCAGACA